rnacentral:rRNA from 1 species
GACGAACGCUGGCGGCGUGCCUAAUACAUGCAAGUCGAACGCAGUGGGGACGGGUGAUUAACACGUGGGUAACCUCCCAUCAGAGGGGAUAACACUUGGCAACAGGUGCUAAACCGCUACUGAUUGAUGGACCCGCGGUGCAUUAGCUAGUUGGUGAGGUAACGGCCCACCAAGGCCACGAUGCAUAGCCGACCUGAGAGGGUGAUCGGCCACACUGGGACUGAGACACGGCCCAGACUCCGACGGGAGGCAGCAGUGGGGAAUAUUGGGCAAGGGACGAAAGUCUGACCGAGCAAAGCCGCGUGAGUGAAGAAGGUUUUCGGAUUGUAAAACUCUGUUGUUAGAGAAGCGGUAUCUAAACAGAAAGCCACGGCUAACUACGUGCCAGCAGCCGCGGUAAUUC